rnacentral:lncRNA from 1 species
GCUACACAGAUCCAAACCAUAUCAGAGUGACUUCGCCUUUCAGAAGACAUAUGGCACAGUCUGAAGACAUUUUUGAUUGUCAUGAAUGAGGGAUGGGGCUCUUCGCCAUUCAAAUCCUCCCUACACAGUGAAGCAUUAUCCAUCUCUGGUACUGGCAAGGGCAAAACUCAGACUUUUGUUGAUGGCAUCUGGAUGCAAUCGUCUUUGAGUACAUCAGCUUGUUGCAGGAUAACACAGAGCACUAUCAUUGACUCUCAUCGUGGCAAAGCAGAUGUUCCUUGGCCUUGUGCAAGCCCCACCUGCACCACUCUGGAUGUCCCUGACUGCAAGACACACAGUCAAGAGGUCCUAAUGUCAGUCACUUGUGCUCUCUAAAAGUGUAGUGCCUCUUUUUCUUUGUCUGCUUUAGACUGUCACGUUAAGGGGAAACAGUGUAUGAAUGCCAAAUAAAAGAAAAGCAACUAAAAUUGGUAGACAUGCCUUUUUUAGCUUCAGAGAAGUCAGCAUUUAAU